rnacentral:rRNA from 1 species
CCUACGGGCGGCAGCAGUGGGGGAUAUUGCACAAUGGAGGAAACUCUGAUGCAGCGACGCCGCGUGAGGGAAGACGGUCUUCGGAUUGUAAACCUCUGUCUUUGGGGAAGAAAAUGACGGUACCCAAAGAGGAAGCUCCGGCAAACUACGUGCCAGCAGCCGCGGUAAUACGUAGGGAGCGACGGUUGUCCGGAAUUACUGGGUGUAAGGGGGGCGUAGGGGGGUGAGAAGGUUGAAGGUUAAGUCUAUCGGCUAAACUGGUAGCUGCGUUCGAAACUUCCAGUCUUGAGUGAAGGAGAGGUAGGCGGAAUUCCUAGUGUAGCGGUGAAAUGCGUAGAUAUUAGGAGGAACACCGGUGGCGAAGGCGGCCUGCUGGACUUUAACUGACGCUGAGGCUCGAAAGCGUGGGGAGCAAACAGGAUUAGAUACCCCAGUAGUC